rnacentral:rRNA from 1 species
UACGUAGGGGGCAAGCGUUGUCCGGAGUUACUGGGCGUAAAGCGCACGCAGGCGGUCUGUUAAGUUUGGAGUGACAGUUGGUGGCUUAACUGCCAAAGUGCUUCGAAAACUGAUCGACUUGAGGGCUUCAGAGGGACACGGAAUUCCGGGUGGAGUGGUGAAAUGCGUAGAGAUCCGGAGGAACACCGAAGGCGAAGGCAGUGUCCUGGGGAGUACCUGACGCUCAGGUGCGAAAGCUAGGGGAGCGAACGGG